GUCGAGCGAUUCUCUUCGGAGAAGAGCGGCGGACGGGUGAGUAACGCGUGGGUAACCUGCCCUGUACACACGGAUAACAUACCGAAAGGUAUGCUAAUACGAGAUAAUAUACUUUUAUCGCAUGGUAGAAAUAUCAAAGCUUUUGCGGUACAGGAUGGACCCGCGUCUGAUUAGCUAGUUGGUAAGGUAACGGCUUACCAAGGCGACGAUCAGUAGCCGACCUGAGAGGGUGAUCGGCCACAUUGGAACUGAGACACGGUCCAAACUCCUACGGGAGGCGGCAGUGGGGAAUAUUGCACAAUGGGCGAAAGCCUGAUGCAGCAACGCCGCGUGAGCGAUGAAGGCCUUCGGGUCGUAAAGCUCUGUCCUCAAGGAAGAUAAUGACGGUACUUGAGGAGGAAGCCCCGGCUAACUACGCGCCAGCAGCCGCGGUAAUGCGUAGGGGGCUAGCGUUAUCCGGAAUUACUGGGCGUAAAGGGUGCGUAGGUGGUUUCUUAAGUCAGAGGUGAAAGGCUACGGCUCAACCGUAGUAAGCCUUUGAAACUGGGAAACUUGAGUGCAGGAGAGGAGAGUGGAAUUCCUAGUGUAGCGGUGAAAUGCGUAGAUAUUAGGAGGAAC
rnacentral:rRNA from 1 species